GAUAGUGAACCAGUACCGUGAGGGAAAGGUGAAAAGCACCCCGGAAGGGGAGUGAAAUAGAUCCUGAAACCGUGUGCCUACAAGUAGUCAGAGCCCGUUAACGGGUGAUGGCGUGCCUUUUGUAGAAUGAACCGGCGAGUUACGAUCCCGUGCAAGGUUAAGCAGAAGAUGCGGAGCCGCAGCGAAAGCGAGUCUGAAUAGGGCGCAUGAGUACGUGGUCGUAGACCCGAAACCAGGUGAUCUACCCAUGUCCAGGGUGAAGUUCAGGUAACACUGAAUGGAGGCCCGAACCCACGCACGUUGAAAAGUGCGGGGAUGAGG
rnacentral:ncRNA from 1 species